rnacentral:misc_RNA from 1 species
AAGUCGUAACAAGGUUUCCGUAGGUGAACCUGCGGAAGGAUCAUUACCAAUCCAAACUAAAAACCACUGUGAACUGGCAGAAGUACUUGGGCGAGUUUAUUGGGGGAGUUUUAAUUUCUUUGUGUGAGUCUAGUCUAUGUGCUUGUCACAAAGACACUCUAUAAAAGAUUUAUUGCUCUUCUCACCCUUGCCCAACAGUAUUAACCACAAAUAAAUUUGUUAUGUUAAACUGCUGACUUGUUGCUCUUGCAACUUGUCUGCUACAAAUUGAAAACCAAAGAUUACAACUUUUAGCGGUGGAUCUCUUGGCUCAU